UGACCACUUUAAGAAACAGGACGAUUUUGAAAAAGAACAUUAUAAAAAGAAUCUAGAUCUAAAUCUAGCUACAUUUCGAUGGUUGUCUAUGGAGCAGUCGUGAAAAGAGCUUAUUCUCCAAAAACCACUGUAUUUAUUUGUGACAGCAAUCUUGCUACUGCUUACUGGCCAUCAUCCAGUGUCUAUAGUUGGCUCAUGGACUUUAAUAAAUUCCAUUAGGACAUAUAGAAGCAAAGAUAUUGCUUUCUUCAGACUCCAAUUCUACUCUUAGACUAGACAAGAGAAGGAGAAACAGAUAGUGGUAGAGGUCCAGUAUAAGCCCAAAGGAAUGACAGGGUCUAGCCCUGCCACCCAGUACAUAAAUACAGAAAAGAAAAGGAGUCAAGAGGAGGAGAGAAAAGAGGAGAGAUGUACAUAAACAAUUAGAGCAUGGACAGACAGUGUGUAGUGUGUGUGAAUCAGAAGAAUUAAAAACAUUUGUAAAUUUGUCAAUGAAAUGGGAUGUAAUUAGCUUUUAAAACUUGGGAUAGACAUAGAGAGAUUGAUUGGAGGUAGAGAUUUCCAUAAACGGGGAAAACGGUGAAAGAAUGUGUGGUGAGCUGAGGAGCAAACCAGGGAAGAGUGAACUAGCUUCUUGUUGGCUGAACUGCGAGUGGAGCAAGUUGAGAAUGAGAAAUAGUUACGGAUGUCAAAUGAGUGGCCCGGUGUUUACAUAUGUGGCAAGGUAUGAGGACACCAACAAACUAAAUAAAAAA